rnacentral:ncRNA from 1 species
AGAAAAGUUUGAUUCUGACUUAUUAAUUUAUUGUAUAAAUUUUGUACAUGGAUACUUAUUAUGAUUCAGUAUUUUAUAUUAUAUAAAUUAUGAAAAGAUAUAGAAAUUGUUUUAUUAGAUUUAAAUAAAAAUUGUGCCAGCAUUUGCGGUUAAACAUUAAAAUUGAAUUAAUUUAUUCGGUUAAAUUUAAUUUUAAUUUUAUUUAGUUUUUUGUAUUUUAGGUGAAAUUAUUUAUUUGAAUUUAACUAGCUUUUUUAAACAAAUUUUACUUGAUUGACUUAUAAACUUGGAUUAGAUACCCAAUUAUACUAUUUGAUUUUAAACCCGAGUAGUAUAUUAUAGAAACUUGAAGAAUUUGGCGGUGCUUAAUCCAAUUAGAGGAACCUGUCACGUUAAAGAUACUACACUAUAUUUUUCUUUAAUAAUUGUUUAUACAUCUCUGUUUACAUAAUUAAAUAAAUAUUUUUUUAGUAAUUUAUAAUAAUAAAUUAAAUCAAGUCAAGGUGUAAUAUUUUAAAGUGUGGAUGGGUUACAAUUAUUUAAAUAAUAGCGUAUUUUAUUUAUUAUAAGUUUACAAAACUGGAUUUAAUAGUAAUUUUAAUAAUUAUAAAAUAUUAUAAUUUGGUUCUAAAGUAUGUACAUAUCGCCCGUCGCUCUGACUUUAAAGUUAGAUAAGUCGUAACAAAGUGGUAUUUCCGGAAGGAGAUAUUAG